UGUAACAUAAGCAGUCAAGUACAACACUUCCUGUUUGCCUAGAGUGGACACGCAGGGGGGUGUUACUCCAGCCAGGAGGAGACUUCUUGUCACACCUGGUCUGGAGCUUCCUUCCCCUGCGUGUGACCAGGUAGGUGGGCGUGACCUUGGGAGACCCCAUAAAAGGGGCUGGUCACGCAGCCACCUCCCUCUUCUUCCUCUUGAUGCUAUUCCCUUCUGAUACUGUUGUAUUUUGCUGUCUUCUGGCUCUCAGUCACCAGGACAUAGGCUCUUUCCAUAUGGGAUGAACUCAAGCCGUCUUUUGUAACUCUAAGCUAAAGCCAACUGUGAACUGAAUGUGAGUAAACCUCUUAUUACUUUUAAAAGAAGCUUCUUGUGUCUUUAUUCUUUUUAGGAGGGAUAAAAGGGGUCUUACCAGAAUGGAUUGCUUAAGUAAAGAGAUUCAAAUGAAUCUGCCAACUAGCUUCCUGCUAUAUAUUGGGGAAUGUCGUCGCUUUGCUGCUGAGUCACAAGCGUGAGUUAGGAAGGAUACUAUUAAAUCAAUAUAUCCUCUCCUAGUAUCUACAACAUUCCCACACAGAGGAGCUGUGCAUUGCCCUGCCACCUGCCCCUUCUGCUGCAUAUCCCAUUUCUUGGUCAAGAAGUUGUGAACUGAGAACAGAUUUUUCUGCCAAAACCAGGCAAGGCAAGGAACACUGGGAACAGUGUGGAGGAAAGGGGUUCUACAGGAGUACAAUGCUCAACUCACCGUGCUGGUGGGCUCUCAAUUAGUUUUGAAAUAAAGAUUUUUCAUUUUGCGUGCAAUUUUGUGCCUGGCUAUUAUCGCUUUAAGUAAAGAAAAUAUGCAGCCCAUUAACUCUGGCAAAUUGUCACUUACAUUACUGAUGAGUAUGAAAUGAGGGUGUAUGUUUCUCCCCUUAGGAAGUCAACUUGCAGGAAUCCAUCAAUCUUCUUGUGUUUAAUGGCAAUUAAGCAGACAUUCCUUCUCCACCUCCCCAUUGCCCCCCACUGAUGUUUUAACAGAUCACAACUUAACCACGCAGCUCAUGUGUAUUAAGCGACCAUGGAAGAUAAGAUGAAGGUCUCUUUGACCGUACGUUCCCCCCACUUGGAAUGGAGAGGGAGGUGGCCCUUUUAUUGCAUUUUGCACACAGAAAAGAAAUGAGAAAUGCAUUAAGUUAUUAAAUGUGAAGUGCAUUAAAUCUGUGAUUAAGGGUAAAGUACAGGAAACAUGGAUAUCUUUCAGAACAUGGCAAUGAGACCAGACUUAUUAUAUAGCUGGAGAAGGAAUUUGUUGGGUCUGAUUUUCCCACUGGGCCAACCUGAUGCUCCCUAAUUUGCUUGUGGAUCAGAAUGCAAUUCCCAGCCAAAUUGCACAACCUGCCGGAAUUUGCAAUGUCACUUCAACAUGCCAAAAGUAGACCUCACAAUCACCGUAUUUUUCGCUCCAUAAGACGCACCUUUUUCCUCCUAAAAAGUAAGGGGAAAUGUGUGUGCGUCUUAUGGAGUGAGUGUGUGGUCGAUCACUGGCUCCCUUUCUGGCCCUGCCCCCUUGCCCAGGCCUCCAUUGUUGAAUGUUCUGCAGAUGGAGGCUGUUUGUUUUCCCAGCAACAUGUGACUGGCUGAUUAGAUUAUCUGUCUGGAAACUGUAGAAACAGCUCCCUUUCCUUUCCUAAAGAAGCUGCAGAACUGUGAGAUGAACACCAUAAAAACAGGAUUUUUUCCCUUUGCAAACUAAGCUCAACAACUUUGAGCUUAUCCUCAAAAAGAGGGGCUUUUCCCCUUUGCAAAAGAAGCUGCACAACUGUGAGCUGAUCCCCCCCAAAAUGGGGCUUUCCCCCUUUCCUCCUCUAAAAACUAGGUGCGUCUUAUGGUCAGGUGCAUCUUAUGGAGUGAAAAAUAUGGUAAGCAUGGAGGCAGCAAUGCCACCAGUUGUGGAAACUGCAGGAGGGGAGAGUGUAGUUGUGCUUGGGUCAUGCUUGAGAGUUUCCCACAGACAUCUGGGUGGCCACCGUGAGAACAGGAUGCUGUACUAGAUGGGUCAUUGGCGUGAUCCAGCAGGCUCCUCUUAUGUUCUGGGAGGGACUGGGCAGAGGAGAAAUGGUGGAGACCGCCUUCCCACCCUGACCCUUCCAGGGAGGAGGAAGAGGAAGACAGUAUAGGCUUACAACAGUGGUUUGUGGGAGGUCACAGCUCAGAGGCAGAUGAAGGGAAAAGUUUGGAAAUAAUGGGAGAGGAGGAGGAGGAGGAGGAAGCAAGAUGACAACUGAUAGACACAGUGUCACUGGAAAACCUUCCAGACCCCCCUCCGAGAACCCAGCAAGCCUUGAAAGUAGGAGAGCAAAAAGGUCAAAGACAGAGGGCACAUAGCAGCACCCGUAGAAGAAGUGGGGAUGAUGACGAAUGAGGAAAUGAGAGGCAGGGGUGGAGAUUCAUUCGGGACAAUGCCAUUAUCCAAGAGGUUGGGUUCUAUAGCCUCUCUUUGUAAUUACUGGAUAAAAAAGGAUGGUAAGAAACCAUCCCUUGUCUUUAUACUUUCCUGGGCAACCAGCCGGGAGCCACUGACAGCAUCCUGACAUGUUCCUGUGGAGGACUUCUGAUGCCCACACACCACACAUGGAUGCUGAGUGGUCACAGGAUGUGAGGCACAGCAGUAGAUACUCUCCUGCUGCUACAACACAUAAGUGCCUUGCAAAUGGGUGAUGUGUGAAGAGGCCUUUGGCAUGGAAUGCUUCCAACUGGUGCCAUAACUCUCUUGAUUCUUGCACAGGCUGUGAACCAGUAGAGUAGUGUGAUGAAGCAGGCAAGUUGUUGGCAUUUCUCCCUGUGUUUUUGGAUUAAGACAUUAGCAUUCAUUCUGAGAGGCUCUUCUGCCUCUGAAGCACUAUUAUGAUAUGACAAAAAGAUUGAACCACCCAAAGUGGAAGAUUAUUGCUUGUUUUCCAGCCAUUGGGUCCGGUAAACGGAGCUGUGAAAAUUAAGCAUGGAAGCAUUUGCCGGUACUCCCAAAAUUACUUUCUUUUCUUUUCUUUCUUUCGUUUUUUCUUUUUUAAUGAAACGAAAAUGUGAUUGUAAUGGAUAUAGUCUCACUCCAACGACUUAAGUAACAAUAUCAAAUAUAGAUGUAGAUUGCUCAACUCCAGCAGGCUAUGAAACUUCAUUGAGCGGGAUGUGAUGUUGGGGUAAUUGUGUCUUCUUAAAAGCUCAUCAGGUUUGUUAGUCUAGAAAGUGGCGAGACUCUAAGCAUGGCUGGAAGCCAUUAAGGGUGGCGGCAAGGGCUGUGGGUGGGAGAUAAUCAGAUGCUCCAUCUGGAAAUUACCUGAAGCUUAUCAUUAAUGCUUAAUAGUUUCACAAAAGCACCGGGAGGGAGGAAUGCUAAGAUGCAUGCAUUUAACUCUGCAUGUGGCUUGCCAUGGCAACAUAGGAAGUGUCCUUCUUUCGACUCAUGGAAUCAUAGAACUGCAGAGUUGGAAGGGACCCAAAGGCUUAUCUUUUAACCCCCCUCAUUGCAAGGAUCACAGCAAAAGAAUCCUGGGCAGACAGCCAUCCAAGCUUUGCUUAAAAACCUACAGUGAAGGAGAGUCUACCACUUUCCGAGUCUGUUCCAGUGUCAAACAGCUCUCACCAUCAGAAAGCUCUUCCUGAUGUUUAAUAAGAACCUCCUAUCUUGUGAUUUGAACCCGUUGGUUUGGUUCUUUCCCUCUGGAACCGUAGAAAACAGGCAGCCCCGGGCAGGGUUUUCUGCGCUUAUUUGGCCCUCCUCACCUCUGGGCAGCAAAAGGGCAUCUGAAGGUGUGGCUUGCAUUCUUGCAGGGGUAUAUGUUAGGAAAACAUUAUUUAAGAAACAGAUAAAAGUUCCUGGAAGCUUUAAAGAGGGUUCCAGAAUUUUCUUUAGUGAGUAGGAGUGGGGCUUUAGGCUUGAUUAGUGUCAGCUGGUGGUGCAAAUAAAGGAAGAUGCUAUUUCCUCACGAGGAAAGCACAUGCACACGCUGUCAGCACGCAUGCUGACAACAAGGUUGGAAGUAAGACAUUGUGUGCUGCUGAUACUGUGAGUUUUGCUGUAUCAGGAUUGUUAAUUGCUGGACUGAAAUUAUACCGUGCUGGAGAGAUAAAGAAGGGAUGUAAAUAGCUUGCAUAUAAUAGUAAGAGAAAUGCUCAUGCAACCAGUCAAGCAAUAAAGAAGCUCUUGACUUUGAAUUUGAGUAUGACUCCUGUUCUUGCCCUCUGCCUCCGGGGAAAACUCUGCUACAAACAGUAAGAAGUGGCUUUACCAAGGUGCCACCACACUAGCAGAGACAUGCAGUGGAAGUGUGUGGGCCGUAACCUCUAAUAGUAUAAUGGGGGGGCCUCCUUUUGGCAGGACCUAAUGAUUUUCAGGUCCAUUCAGAUGCCUCGGGUAACCUGGUUUUCAGUGUCUACUUUGAGGGCUGAUGGUGCUCCCAGCCUCAUUGGACGGGAGAUGGGAUCACAAGUGAUCUCACCUUCCUAGAAUUCUUUCUCAUCCUGGCGGCUGUAUAUAUCUGGGUGGAGGAAUUCCAAAAUUCCAGGGUGCAUUCUUUUGGUCUGACAAUCAGGAAGUGGUGAAGGUUCUAGCCAAAAGUCCUCCCAUUCAGAUUAGGUCCUUAGGUUGCUCCAUGCAUUUGUGUUGCAUUGCUUGCUGGCCAACAUCUCAUUUUCAGACAGUUCCAUUCCAGGCCUUGAUAAUAGGAUGCUCUAUCCCAAUUUCAGGACAAUGGUUUCUAUGCCCUAUCACCCAGGGCUUGGCCGAUGCCAGAGUCCAGGGCCAUCAUACCCAUAGGCACUAGGGGUGUGGGGCACCCAGGCACCGGGCUCUCAGGGGCGCCAGGCCGAGAGUCCAGGGCCCGAGAGUUGAGUCCGGGGAAGAGCCCGCCCAUCAGUUGGAGUGUCAUGGCGGGCUCUUCUGCUGCGGGCGGCUCUGUGCCGUGAGUUUGGGGGUGACCGAGCCAGUGAGACGCUGAGGCGCCCGGCCAGCUCCACCCUUCUGUGCGCCUGUGACUGGGCAACCUGGGGGAGGGGGGCACUGGGCAGAUCUUUGCACCCCAGCACCACAUAUGCUUAAGACAGCCCUGCCAGAGUCAUUUCCCAAACACUUCUGGGCAAUUGGAUACAUACCAUGAUGCAGGGAGUAUUGCAGUCCAGGACAUGGUCUUCCUUCAAGGCCUUCUGGUCUCAAGCCAGGGCUGGCCCAUGCCUCCCCACAGCUUGGAAGAAGGAUGUCCUUCCAUUUCUCAUCUUCCUUAAGAAGCAGGGGUUCGCAGUUAAGACUUGCUUGUGGCUGCAAACACCUUCUGGGGGCUCUCCAACCCAUGUGAGCAUUUUCAUGUAUGCAGGCUAUUAGAGGGAUGGUCCAGGAGUCACCGUCAGUCCCAAACACCUGGAGACCUAUUACAUAUGAUCUAAAGGUUAUAUGGAAAGCACUGGGCUUCAUCUGCCAGUCAAAUCCUCCUUAAACAGUGGUGCCCAGAACUUGACACUGGACUCCAGGUGGGAUCUGACAAAAGCAGAAUAGAUUGAUGCUAUUAUUCCCUUUGCUCUGGACACCAGACUUCUCUUGAUGCAGCUUAGAAUUUCAUUAGCCCUUUAUUUAUUUUUUUGCUACAGACACAUUCUGCACACUCAUGCAACCCAAACAGACUGUUCCUUGUGAUUUUCCAUGGAGGAUAUUGAUUUCCCCAGGGAAUUGAUAUAUAAUGCAACACUAUGUGGAUUUCCCCCCAAAGUGUGAAAUCUGUGACGGCCGUGGAAAAAAAUAACAACCGAGAAACCAAAUAUAUAGCUGUAUCUAUAACGGUGAAUACUGAUCUAUAGUGUGAUGUCCUGGAGAAGAGACUGGUGAGAUUUGUCACUCUGUUUCCUGUAUUAAAAUGGAUCUUCCAAAAUGCAGCCAUGCCAAAAUCGAUAUCAGAUAAUUGGAAAAGGGAAUCGUGAGCCUGAAGAGAAGAUUAAGCUAGAACAAGGGUAUAAAAUGUGAUAAUUAAACGAGUACUUUUGUAUUCUCCAGGUGGGCCCAAAGGAAAGUGCUUACAUUGUCGUUUAAUGCAGAUCAAGGGGGGAGAAGAGGGAGUGGUAUUAACAGCCAGUUGUAACAUUGGAGUUUAAUGGGGCUUAGGGGUCAGAAAACUAUCAGAAGAUCGAUCAUUUCUCCCCUUUAUAGUCCCCAGUUAAAACACUUACAGAUGGUAAAUCUUCUUUAUCCCUCCUUUUGUUGCAUAAUUGUGUGCGCAUUAGCGUCCUGAUCUAUGCAUGCAUUCGAAAAUCAUGUACUUGGAAGCAUUUCAAACACUUCAUAACUGCCAACUUCAUAUUCGCCUGGUCAGACCUUGCUUUGCUGUUGGCUCUGCCUGCCCGGUUCCUUUCUGUGUCCAAGGAAGGAACUCUGCAUGACAGGAGACCCUAGGCUGCACUGCUAGAAAUGCCUUGUCUGGCAUCGUCCUUUAAGAGCCAGUGUGGUGUAGUGGUUAAGAGCGGUGGACUCAUAAUCUGGUGAACCGGGUUCGAUUCCCCGCUCCUCCACAUGCAGCUGCUGGGUGACCUUGGGCUAGUCACACUUCUCUGAAGUCUCUCAGCCUCACUCACCUCACAGAGUGUUUGUUGUGGGGGAGGAAGGGAAAGGAGAAUGUUAGCUGCUUUGAGACUCCUUCGGGUAGUGAUAAAGCGGGAUGUCAAAUCCAAACUCUUCUUCCAAAACUCUUCUUAAGACUUUCGGGCUCCAGCUCUCCACAACAACCGCAGUUAACCUUGGUGACUCUGGGCUACAGAACACACCCUCCAGCUCUUGGUUCCAUUUCUUUAUUAUUAUCUUAUUUCAUAAAAUUUGUAUAUCACUUGAUUGCAAAAAAUAAAUAAAUCUCAAAGCGUUUUAUAAAAAGAAUAUUUUUUUUUGUAAAAACAAAAAUGAAACAUUCAAAAGAUUAAAACCACCAAUAAAUUAAAUAGUUUGUAGGAGAGUUGGGUGGGGUGUGUGUGUAUCUCAGCUUUCAACCAAUGCACCCUUUUGGUUUCAGAUAGUACAUGGGUUUUAGGAACACAAGAAGUUGCCAGGUCAGAUCUCUGAUCUAUCUAGGUAAAAGGUAAAGGACCCCUGGAUGGUUAAGUCUAAUGAAAUGCGACUAUGGAGCUCAUCUCGCUUUCAGGCCGAGGGAGCUGGCAUUUGUCCACAGACAGCUUUCCAGGUCAUGUGGCCACGGCUUCUGGUGCAACAGAACACGAUGACAGAAACCAGAGUGCAUGGAAAUGCUGUUUACCUUCCUGCUGCAGCAAUACUUAUUUAUCUACUUGCACUGGCCUGCUUUCAAACUGCUAGGUUGGCAGCAACUGGGACAGAGAAACGGGAGCUCACCCCGUCGCAGGGAUUUGAACCGCCAACCUUCUGAUUGGCGAGCCUAAGAGGGGACACGGGUCUAAACCACAUGAGCAGGGGGCAAUUUCUAGCACUUGAGAUGAUCCAGGCCAGUCACUCCACAGAAAGGGAGCAUAAAGGAUCUAAGCUGGACACGGGGGCUGGUUGGUGGUGAAGAAGCCAACACAAAAAGAAACCCUUUCUCUGAUCCGCAGAGUUUUCUAACCCCUGGCAGUUGGUUAUAGAGUCUGGACUUCUGGAUUUCCCUUCCUAAGAAAAGGGAGAAGUAGAAACUGCCAAUGGACAUGGAGUGGUGGUGGCUGAUAGAAAUCCCAGUGAAACACUGAAACAUCACUUCCAUCAGUUUCAAUCCUAAAUCAACAAUCUAGAUAAGUGAUGGGAGACUCUGUCCAUUGUGGUUUCUCUUUUCUCAUUUGUCCACUCUUAAGUUCAGUUCUCCACAUCAAUAUGUGUUUGUUUGGUUUUUUUAAAAAAAGGUCUCCUGAAAUCUCGCCAGUAUUUUAGUGUAAAUUUCUCCUAAUACAUAUAAAUAAUUUUUGUAUGUAGGCCUAAUCUACUCAGGGUCCCUUCCAACUUUACAAUCCUAUGAUUGUAGAAUCCAGGUCUAAAUCCAUAUUGCUAAGAUCACAGGGGCCAAGCUAUUUUGGUUCAGGAAUGGCUCUAGCUGUCCUACCAAACAAAGCUAGCGAUAGGCACUCCUAGCUGCCAUGGCCUCAACUAACAAAGAUGGAGCCAGGAACAUCCCCAGACUCUGUUCAGACAGGUAACUGACCAAUCUCCUGUGUAGAAAUAAUAAGAAGACAUUUCUACCAUGCUUUAUUGCUGAUUUCAUGGGGUGGUUAAUGCAAGUUAAGAGGCAGAUAAACCAUUCAAAGCAAUUUUGAACAGUUGAAAUCAUGCAUCUGCUUUGAGUGAAGUUGACUGUCGAGAGUUUGGGCUCCUUCACAUUAAGCUCAAACACAAUAUCCCAGGAUCCAGUUGUCCCACCUUUCCGUUGUAUUUUUCAGCGGAACCGAAAUACAAGGAGGUCAGAUUAAUUUCCCUAGUUGCAUUUCAAAAUAUUUUCUGACUCCCAUGCAGAGCAUUACAAGAACAGGCCUCUUCUCAGAAGCAACAAAGCGUUUACACUUUCAUUACACCUUGCAGACCUAAAAGGAGCCAAAAUCUGCAAUUUCUUUCCGUCGAAUGCCAUAAAAACAAAGAGAUCGUUUGCAAUGCAGUAAAAAUACACUAAUUGCUUUUUGCUGGUUUUUUUGUUUUUGUUUUACAGGGGUAUGGGGACCCAAGAACAAAAUAGGCUUUGUUUUUCAUUUAGAAAUCAGGGGAGUGGAUAAAAGAUACAGCCCAACAACGUUUUUUAAAAGCAACGUCGCAGGAUGUACAUUUUUAAUAUCUUGGCCACUUGUAUACUGCAACCUAGAGACUUGAAGCAUUCUCUCUCUCUCUCUCUCUCUCUCUCUCUCUCUCUCUCUCUCCAGUUUGAUGUUUUCCCUGGUUGAAAAAAAUCUCUACUCUCUCUCUCACACACAACUUUGUUUACUUUCAUUCAGGGGCGGGAAACCAUUUUUAUCCCGAGGGCCACUAUCCCUUCUGGGACAUAUUCCAGGGGCCAUGUUCUGGUGGUGAGUGUAGCCCUAAGCCAAAGUGGGUGGGGUGGCAAAUGUUAAUUGUACAUUUGUACAAUAGGCUACACACCUUCCUCUUUCCUCCAUCUAAGCAGGUGAGAGGCACUGUUGUGGGAUUUCCACUCAAAAUCACGAAAUACAUGAUUGCCAGGCAGGCACAUGAGGGACUGAAACUCCUAGAGUUUCUGAAUAAAUAUAGAAGGGACUGUAAGAUGAGCUGAAAUAGACUUGGAGCCCUGUAGUGAUUUCAUGCUCUUUAUUGCAGCUUGUAAAACAGUGAUUGAAUUGCCCCCAAACCUCAGGCUUUUAUAUACAUUAUUUACAUAAUGAGUCCUGUCUGACUGGCUGAUUCUUCUUCCCUCCUGGAGCCUGACUGGUCUUUUCCUGCAGGCCAAUCAGCUGUUGCAUUCUACGAUCCUACUUGCCUAUUCUAGGAUCCAAGCUUAGUACAUAACAGGAGCCUUCCUUAAUGCUUUGGUGUGAACUUCUAACAAAGGAGAUAAUCUGAUGUGUUUCCUCUCUACCUGAGCUAUGAGGGGCAUUCAUUAAAGAUUUCCCCUGACGUACUUCCCGUGGACUGAGACAAACGAAACUGGGCACAGUUAUUUGUCCUUCUCUACAUAGCUACCAGCAAGAGUCAAACAUUUCUCCCAUUGCUUUAUGCAGCUGUGGAGACCUCAUCUGUAUAAGUCGGCAAGUUGUGUCAGAAGCCACAACUUGACCUCAGAAAUCAGCUUUCAUCGUCUGGAAAAAGCUUGCCCUUCAAAAAUAACUUCAUAGUUGGAAAGAGGUGGAAGUCAGAUGGUGUGAGGUCAGAAGAAUAAGAUGGGUGAGGAAGGAUUUCAUAGCCACAGGACCAUGCUUCCGUCUGAAUAACAUUCGAGUUGUGAACCGGGGCGAUAUGCUGCAGGAGGUGAACAACUUUGGUCAGCAUACCAUGUUUCUCGGUUUUGAUGGCCUUCCACAAUUCCUGCAGCAGUGAAAGAUAGUAUGUCCCAGUAAUUGUGGUACCCUUUGCCAGGAAAUCCAUCAUCACUACUCUGCUCUGGUCCCAAAAGACCGUGAGCAUGACCUUGCCUGCUGCCGGUUGGACACGUGCCUUCUUUGGAGGUAGUGAGGUAGAGGGCUUCCAUUGUUUGGACUGGAAUUUAGUCUCUGGGUCAUAAUGAUGGACCCAUGUUUCGUCUUGAGUAAUUAGUCUGGCAAAGAAGCCAUCAUGGUUUUUGUGAAACAUGGCCAAAAGAGCCUGUGAGCAUGUGACUCGUUCCUGCUUCUGAAAAGGCACCAGCAGUCGGGGAACCCACCAUGCGGACACCUUUCCCAUGUGCAAAUGGUCAUGGAUGAUUAUUUCUACAGAGCCCACACUGAUCUUGACAUCUGCAGCUAGUUGGCAAACGGUUAUGCAUCAAUCCUCCAAAAUGGUGGCCUCCACUUGCCGGAUGGUGUCUUCAUCAGUGGCGGGUUGUGGUCUCCCAGGAAUGGGAGCCGUUCCACCGAAGUUCGACCACACUUGAACUGACGAUGCCAGUGCUUGACUACAUCAUACAAUGGGACAACCUCCCCAUAAGUCCCUUUCAUCUCAUCAAACAUCUCCCAUGGUGUGUGUCCUUUCAAAUACAGGAACCUGAUGACCACUCUGCCUUCAACUGGUUCCACUAUCAGAUGUUACUCCACGUUAGCACCAGUAACAGAGAAACUGUUAGGAGUUCAGAGCUACAAAUUACCAUGUUUCCUAUGGAGAGAUGCAUCAUCAUACUUGUGCAAUUUCAUCCUCCUACAAAAACUGGAAGUGGGACAGGGAAAAUCUUUAAUGAACGACCCUCGUAUCUCUCUCUUCUUUCAAGCUAGCGAUGUGAGCAGCUGUAAAUGCCUAGACUCCACUAAGCCCACACUCCAUUUGGGAAACUAUUUUUGUAACUAAGAAAUAUUUUCACCUGAAUACUACUUCAAUGUAUUUGCUUCCUGCAUUGAAAUGUACCGGUAAGUAAACCUUUUGUUUACUUGACUAAAGCAUGCGGUUCAUUCUUAGCAACGGAGACAAAGAACAGAAAAGUCAGCAGACCACAAAUAAACAGGGAUAAAAAGGUGUAAUUGCCUAAUUCCUAGAUUUUGGUAGAUUUCAAAAGUGCAUAAGUGUUUUUAUGCUGCUAGAAGGGCUUUACAGACUGUUUACUCUCAUAUUUCUCCCACACACAUGGGAUAGGAGUUUUACCUAGCCACUGUGAUCCAUCCGACGGUCACCUCCAGGCUUUAUUAUUGUAACUCGCUCUACGUGGGGCUGCCCUUGAGACUGACCCAGAAAUUCCAGCGGGUGCAGAAUGCCGCGGCGAGACUCCUUACGGGGUCCUCGCUGCGGGAUCACAUUCACCCGGUGCUAUACCAGCUGCACUGGCUCCCGGUGGAGUACAGGAUCAGGUUUAAGGUGCUGGUUUUAACCUUUAAAGCCCUAUACGGCCUAGGACCCUCAUACCUACGGGACCGCCUCUCCUGGUAUGUCCCACGGAGGACCUUACGGUCUUCAAACAAAAACAUCCUGAAGGUCCCAGGCCACAGAGAGGUUAGGCUGGCCUCAACUAGAGCCAGGGCUUUUUCGGCUGUGGCUCCAAUCUGGUGGAACGCUCUGUCACAAGGGACUAGGGCCCUGCAGGACUUGACAUCUUUCCGCAGGGCCUGCAAGACAGAGCUGUUCCACCAGGCCUUUGGUUAGGGCACAGCCUGACUCCCUCCUUUGGCAAUCUUCACAGAACUUUAGCCUAAUGGUUGCCAUCAAUUUGAUUUGAAUUAAUUUUAUAAUGAAAUGAUUUUAGAAUGUUGUACUAUUUUAUUGUUGUUAGCCGCCCUGAGCCCGGCUUCGGCUGGGGAGGGUGGGAUAUAAAUAAAUUUAUUAUUAUUAUUAUUACAUUAUACUUUACAGAGUUAAUCCUCAACCCAUCUCCAUCAAUCAUCACAGUUCCAGGACACAUUCCAAUGGGGGGGGGGGGGGAAUUGAAGGGACAAAGCAGAGCCAGUGAGGAUCGUGCACUAGGGAGAGUCCCAAGGGCUUAGAUAGAGAUUCCUGAAUGUAACAUUGGGGACAACUAGCAACAGUCCACUGAACGAUCUCAGUGAUCAGGCCAGGAUAUCUGUCUUGCAAUGGCAAUGUCAGAAGACUUGGAGCUCAGUUUUGGAAACUGUGCCAAAGUCAGCAUGGAGAGGACUGGCAACCUGGAUUUCUUCCACGUUCUUCAAGAUCCUGACGCCUUCACUAGAUGGGAAGGAGUUACGCUGCCACAGCUUUUAACGUGCCUGGUACCUGUAGUGGCUUUUGGAUCCAGAAGCCAAUACAAGUGCAAAGAGGCUUCUGUACAGAGAGUGCUUUGCUUUGAUGUCCACAUGUGAACCAGAGCUAUACCUAUCUGGGAAGGGUAUCUACACACAUAUUUAAAAAGCUGUGAAAAUGCAUUUUGAAAAGAAAGUUUUGGGGGGAAAAUGAAUUUGCCAUAGCUUGCCAUCCCCAUCUAGUGUAACAUUUGUAUAUUGCACCUUACAACACACUUAAAACGUUUUAUUUGCAGCUGUAUAACUGACUCCUUGGUUAGGGAAUUCGCUCAGUGGAGUCAUUGUGUGUCAGGAAAAUGGUAUUUAGCAUGGGUCUUAAGAACCGAUCCACAGAAUUAUCCUAGUGCUUUCAAAAGUUCUACUAGAUGGCUUCAGUGCAAAUAGCUGCCAGGCUGCGCUCUCUGUUUCGAUGCUGCCUGAAAAGCACUCGGGGAUUUAAGCUCGGAAGGUUUCCCAGAUAGUAAAAAGUAAUAACAAACUCUCUUGCUGCCCAAUUUCUCAUUAGAGAAUGCCAUUCGGAAUGUCAAUUAGUAUUUAAAUGGAAUGCAAGCCCCAUAUUUUAUUCAGAUUGGUGCAAUUCCAUUCUUUUAUCCUCCCUCCUCAAUUUUGAAGGGGGGAAAAAAGUCGGGGAUCUGCGAUUCACUGAAGCGAAGGCCUGAUAAUCCCUUGCAAGAGACAUUGCCCAUUACCUGGUGAUUGGACCAUUUUGCAAGUGUAUUGAGAUUUGUCUGUGCUUCUCCACCAGAGCAGAGAAGACAAGGCAGGAGAUAAUCCUCUUGCACACUGUAGCGGAGAGCAACCGUAUUGUCUGUCAUAAUUGCUGUCUUCCAAAGGGAGCAGCAGCAUCUGGCAUGGGGAAUAUUGUCCUGAUUUGACCCUGAAUGUUAUUUAUGCAUUUAUUUACUUAAUACAAUUUAUAUACUGCUUGGUUAUAAUAAAACCUCAAAGCAGUUAACAAGAAACAUUAAAACGAUCAAUACAGAGCGGUUAAAAACAAUUUAAAUAAACAUGUAAAAAUUAUCAAAAAUCAACAGUGAAAGAGAUUUAAUUAUGGCAACAUUCUGUGUGUGUGGCUAGGUUUGCUUAGCAGACAAUAUUUUUAGCAGGCACUGAAAUGCGUACAGCCUGCCUGAUGUCGAUUGGCAGGUAUUCCAAAGUGGAGGUGCUGCCACAAUGAAAUAUAGAUUUCUGACAAGUGUAGCAUGAGUAUUGUGUGGCACCUGUAACACUGUGAGUGGGCAAAUAUGGAGUAAUGGCGAUGCCACCAGUAAACUAGUCCUAAGCCAUUUGGGUCUGCAUAGACCGAUAGUAACACUUUGCACGCCCUAACAAAUGGACAGACCUCUGAGUAGAAGUGUUGCUGCUUUUGAGGGCGACACGGAAACUACAAUUAAUCCAGAAUGCGGCAGCUAGACUGGUGACUGGGAGUGGCUGCCGAGACCACAUAACACCGGUCCUGAAAGAUCUACAUUGGCUCCCAGUAUGUUUCCGGGCACAAUUCAAAGUGUUGGUGCUGACCUUUAAAGCCCUAAACGGCCUCAGUCCAGUAUAUCUGAAGGAGCGUCUCCACCCCCAUCGUUCUACCCGGACACUGAGGUCCAGUGCCAAGGGCCUUCUAGAGGUUCCUCCUUGUGAGAAGUGAGGUUACAGGGAACCAGGCAGAGGGCUUUUUUUGGUGGUGGUGCCCACCCUGUGGAAUGCCCUCCGAGCAGAUGUCAAGCAAAUCAGCAGCUAUGUGAUUUUUAAAAGACAUCUGAAGGCAGCCCUGUUUAGGGAAGUUUUUAAUGCUUAACAGACCACUGUAUUUUAAUAUUUUGUUGGAAGCCACCCAGAGUGGCUGGGGAAACCCAGCCAGAUGGGCAGGGUAUAAAUUAUUAUUAUUAUUAUUAUUAUUAUUAUUAUUAUUAUUAUUAUUACAUUGGUACCUUGGGUUACAGAUGCUUCAGGUUACAGACGCUUCUGGUUACAGACUCCGCUAACCCAGAAAUAGUACCUUGAGUUAAGAACUUUGCUUCAGGAUGCGAACAGAAAUCGUGAGGUGGUGGCGCAGCUGCAGCGGGAGGCCCCAUUAGCUAAAGUGGUGCCUCAGGUUAAGAACAGUUUCAGGUUAAGAACGGACCACCAGAAUGAAUUAAGUUCUUAAGCCGAGGUACCACUGUUUGGUAUUAUUAUUAUUAUUAUUUUGUCACAUUAUUAUUAUUAUUAUUAUUAUUAUUCUGUUGGGAGCUGCCCAGAGUGGCUGGGAAAACCCAGCCAGAUGGGUGGGGUAUAAAUAAUAAAUAAUAAUUAUUAUUAUAUUGUUAUGUUGCAUGCUGACAUAGGCUCAUACAGCAUCAAGAUGAUAGCAAAGGACCUUUUCCUGUAUGGGGUGGAAUUUUCUGUGGAUAAUGUAUCCUUUCUUAGAUGUAUAAUCCCCACAAGCUGUUCUACUUACUGUAACAUGCUGCAUUUAUGCAUGGGCUGUGUUGCAGCCUUGUUCCAUGCCCAAUAAGCUUGGGAUGCCUUUGCCUUGCAGACCUGUGGCCCAUAGACUGCAGCAAUGUACUGGCCAAGGUUUUGCUCAAUAUCUUGUUUGUGCGAUGAGCUCAUGGGGAAAAAGCUACCCCAUGAGCCUUUGCACUGGGGAGAGAAAAGUCUAUCUAAGGCUGCUUCCAUUUUGCCUCGAGGGCAGUUGCUGUACUGCUCUGUUAUGCCUCCCUGCUGCCAACCAUGGAUUGCAAUGCCAGUUGAGCUAUAGCUAUUUCCAAGCCCAGGAAGUGACUCAUCCAAGCUCCGUCGCAAGUCCUUCUGCUCAGUUUGCUUGCGGAACGAAGGAAACCAAACACCUUUCUCUCCUUAAAUCCAGGCAGACAGCUUCUCCGGUUUGUUUGAAAAAACGGAGUCAACGAAGCACUGUUUUACAGUGUGCGUUCAUCAGCAUGUGCGCCCAUGAGCUACAUUUACUUAAUCUCUCUGAAAACGAAGGCACAUAUUCUGGGCAUGUUUACCUAUAAGAAAAUUGCAUUUGAUUCAAUGGAACUUAACUUCUCAGCCAGUGGGCUUUGGAUCAUGCUUGUUAAGGUACAAGUCAAUUGACUCAAAUACCACAAUUCCAAGGAAGGCAUGUGGGAAAUGAAGUGAUGGCUGUGCAUAAGAGAGAACCAGAGAGAAUAUCAAAGCUACAUACACUAUGUUCCUUUUGCUUAUGUAUGAGACAAUGGUGGUUACUGAUGCCUUCCAACUCUAUUGCUCUUGCAAGCUCUAUUUACCAAGAAGGAAAGAAUAUGGAUGGUCUCUUUGGCUUCUCCUGCUGAUUCUCUGUAUGGUUGGUUUGAGAAUACAAGCAAUAUUUAUCUCUCAGCAGCUUCCAAGCAAUCGUUUCCCUUUAAAUUUAAAAGACAACCCCCUUGGCUUUUCAGUUCUGGUUGAACUCCCUUCCUUGGCCUUCAGUGUAUUAGCAUCUUCUGCUGAACUCUCGACUCUUUCUUCCCCCUGAGUUUUGAGAAUGUGGUUCAAGUGUAUGUGUGCAAAGGUCUGGCAUUGUCUGUGAUUUUGAAACACUGACUUGAUGGAAAAUAACUGAGGGGGGAAAAACAAGGUGAAAGGGGCAAAGACAGAAACAAAAGUAUUGAGAAUGAGUCAAGUUGAAUAUGAGAAUAAAUCUUCCUCAGCUUUUCAUGCUUCCCUGAAUGUAUUCCAUGAUGGCCCCAAUUCUUACUAAGAAGGUGGUUCUGGCUGACAAAGGCUCUGAGAACAUACAGUUGGCAGCAUGGGAAAAACUAUGGAAAGAUGAUUUAAAAUUUACAGCGUGUUACACGCUGAAAGAAAACUAUAUGAUGAUGAUGUACCAUUGGUAUUUAACACCCAGAAAGUUAGCGAAAAUGUAUAGGACUAACUCCAAUGUAUGUUGGAAGUGUAAGGAAAAAGAGGGCACAUUUUAUCGUACGUGGUGGAAUUGCAAAAAGAUAAAGGAAUUCUGGGUAAUGAUAUAUAAGGAACUUUUAAAAAAAAUGUUUAAAAUAACAUUUGUUAAAAGACCAGAAGCCUUUCUCUUAGGAAUUUUAGGUGCAGAUAUAUUGAAGGAUUUGAGAAGACUAGUCAUGUAUGCGAUUACAGCUGCAAGGAUGCUGCUUCCCAGCGACGGAAACAUGAGAAAAUGCCGACAAAAGCGGACUGGCAGAUGAAACUAUUCGAGUAUUCAGAGAUGGCAAGACUGACAGGG
rnacentral:lncRNA from 1 species